rnacentral:rRNA from 1 species
AACGCGAAGAACCUUACCUGGCCUUGACAUCCAGAGAACUUUCCAGAGAUGGAUUGGUGCCUUCGGGAACUCUGAGACAGGUGCUGCAUGGCCGUCGUCAGCUCGUGUCGUGAGAUGUUGGGUUAAGUCCCGUAACGAGCGCAACCCCUAUCCCUGGUUGCUAGCAGGUAAUGCUGAGAACUCCAGGGAGACUGCCGGUGACAAACCGGAGGAAGGUGGGGAUGACGUCAGGUCAUCAUGGCCCUUACGGCCAGGGCUACACACGUGCUACAAUGGCGCGUACAGAGGGCUGCCAACUCGCGAGAGUGAGCCAAUCCCUUAAAACGCGUCGUAGUCCGGAUCGGAGUCUGCAACUCGACUCCGUGAAGUCGGAAUCGCUAGUAAUCGCGAAUCAGAAUGUCGCGGUGAAUACGUUCCCCGGGUCUUGUACACACCGG